UACGUAGGGUGCAAGCGUUGUCCGGAAUUACUGGGCGUAAAGCGUGCGCAGGCGGUUUUGUAAGUCUGUCGUGAAAUCCCCGGGCUCAACCUGGGAAUUGCAUUUGUGACUGCACGGCUAGAGUGUGUCAGAGGGGGGUAGAAUUCCACGUGUAGCAGUGAAAUGCGUAGAGAUGUGGAGGAAUACCGAUGGCGAAGGCAGCCCCCUGGGAUAACACUGACGCUCAUGCACGAAAGCGUGGGGAGCAAACAGG
rnacentral:rRNA from 1 species